rnacentral:rRNA from 1 species
UAGUCAUAUGCUUGUCUCAAAGAUUAAGCCAUGCAAGUCUCUGUAUAAGCAAUUAUACUGUGAAACUGCGGAAAGCUCAUUAUAUCAGUUAUAGUUUAUUUGAUGGUAUUCAAACUACAUGGAUAACCGUAGUAAUUCUAGAGCUAAUACAUGCCAAGAAGCAGCAACUUCGGAAGCUGUGGACUUAUUAGAUCAAAGAGCUAACCCUUCUCGGAGGAUUAAGCUGAAUCAUAGUAAUUUUGCUGAUCGCAGCAGCCUUUUGGCUGGCGAUAGGUCAUACAAAUUUCUGCCCUAUCAGCUUUGAUGUUAGUGUAGUGGACUAACAUGGCAUAAACGGGUGACGGAGGAUUAGGGUCUGAUUCCGGAGAGGGAGCCUGAGAAAUGGCUACCACUUCCAAGGAGGGCAGCAGGCGCGUAAAUUACCCAAUCCCGAUACGGGGAGGUAGUGACAAGAAAUAACAAUACUGGAUCUUUUAAGUUCUGGUAAUUGGAAUGAGUACAAUUCAAAACCCUUAACAAGGAACAAUUG